GGGACACGUGGUAUCCUGUCUGAAUAUGGGGGGACCAUCCUCCAAGGCUAAAUACUCCUGACUGACCGAUAGUGAACCAGUACCGUGAGGGAAAGGCGAAAAGAACCCCGGCGAGGGGAGUGAAAAAGAACCUGAAACCGUGUACGUACAAGCAGUGGGAGCCUCUUAAUGGGGUGACUGCGUACCUUUUGUAUAAUGGGUCAGCGACUUAUAUUCUGUAGCAAGGUUAACCGAAUAGGGGAGCCGAAGGGAAACCGAGUCUUAACUGGGCGUUAAGUUGCAGGGUAUAGACCCGAAACCCGGUGAUCUAGCCAUGGGCAGGUUGAAGGUUGGGUAACACUAACUGGAGGACCGAACCGACUAAUGUUGAAAAAUUAGCGGAUGACUUGUGGCUGGGGGUGAAAGGCCAAUCAAACCGGGAGAUAGCUGGUUCUCCCCGAAAGCUAUUUAGGUAGCGCCUCGUGAAUUCAUCUCCGGGGGUAGAGCACUGUUUCGGCAAGGGGGUCAUCCCGACUUACCAACCCGAUGCAAACUGCGAAUACCGGAGAAUGUUAUCACGGGAGACACACGGCGGGUGCUAACGUCCGUCGUGAAGAGGGAAACAACCCAGACCGCCAGCUAAGGUCCCAAAGUCAUGGUUAAGUGGGAAACGAUGUGGGAAGGCCCAGACAGCCAGGAUGUUGGCUUAGAAGCAGCCAUCAUUUAAAGAAAGCGUAAUAGCUCACUGGUCGAGUCGGCCUGCGCGGAAGAUGUAACGGGGCUAAACCAUGCACCGAAGCUGCGGCAGCGACACUAUGUGUUGUUGGGUAGGGGAGCGUUCUGUAAGCCUGUGAAGGUGUGCUGUGAGGCAUGCUGGAGGUAUCAGAAGUGCGAAUGCUGACAUAAGUAACGAUAAAGCGGGUGAAAAGCCCGCUCGCCGGAAGACCAAGGGUUCCUGUCCAACGUUAAUCGGGGCAGGGUGAGUCGACCCCUAAGGCGAGGCCGAAAGGCGUAGUCGAUGGGAAACAGGUUAAUAUUCCUGUACUUGGUGUUACUGCGAAGGGGGGACGGAGAAGGCUAUGUUGGCCGGGCGACGGUUGUCCCGGUUUAAGCGUGUAGGCUGGUUUUCCAGGCAAAUCCGGAAAACCAAGGCUGAGGCGUGAUGACGAGGCACUACGGUGCUGAAGCGACAAAUGCCCUGCUUCCAGGAAAAGCCUCUAAGCAUCAGGUAACAUCAAAUCGUACCCCAAACCGACACAGGUGGUCAGGUAGAGAAUACCAAGGCGCUUGAGAGAACUCGGGUGAAGGAACUAGGCAAAAUGGUGCCGUAACUUCGGGAGAAGGCACGCUGAUAUGUAGGUGAAGCGACUUGCUCGUGGAGCUGAAAUCAGUCGAAGAUACCAGCUGGCUGCAACUGUUUAUUAAAAACACAGCACUGUGCAAACACGAAAGUGGACGUAUACGGUGUGACGCCUGCCCGGUGCCGGAAGGUUAAUUGAUGGGGUUAGCGGUAACGCGAAGCUCUUGAUCGAAGCCCCGGUAAACGGCGGCCGUAACUAUAACGGUCCUAAGGUAGCGAAAUUCCUUGUCGGGUAAGUUCCGACCUGCACGAAUGGCGUAAUGAUGGCCAGGCUGUCUCCACCCGAGACUCAGUGAAAUUGAACUCGCUGUGAAGAUGCAGUGUACCCGCGGCAAGACGGAAAGACCCCGUGAACCUUUACUAUAGCUUGACACUGAACAUUGAGCCUUGAUGUGUAGGAUAGGUGGGAGGCUUUGAAGUGUGGACGCCAGUCUGCAUGGAGCCGACCUUGAAAUACCACCCUUUAAUGUUUGAUGUUCUAACGUUGGCCCGUAAUCCGGGUUGCGGACAGUGUCUGGUGGGUAGUUUGACUGGGGCGGUCUCCUCCUAAAGAGUAACGGAGGAGCACGAAGGUUGGCUAAUCCUGGUCGGACAUCAGGAGGUUAGUGCAAUGGCAUAAGCCAGCUUGACUGCGAGCGUGACGGCGCGAGCAGGUGCGAAAGCAGGUCAUAGUGAUCCGGUGGUUCUGAAUGGAAGGGCCAUCGCUCAACGGAUAAAAGGUACUCCGGGGAUAACAGGCUGAUACCGCCCAAGAGUUCAUAUCGACGGCGGUGUUUGGCACCUCGAUGUCGGCUCAUCACAUCCUGGGGCUGAAGUAGGUCCCAAGGGUAUGGCUGUUCGCCAUUUAAAGUGGUACGCGAGCUGGGUUUAGAACGUCGUGAGACAGUUCGGUCCCUAUCUGCCGUGGGCGCUGGAGAACUGAGGGGGGCUGCUCCUAGUACGAGAGGACCGGAGUGGACGCAUCACUGGUGUUCGGGUUGUCAUGCCAAUGGCACUGCCCGGUAGCUAAAUGCGGAAGAGAUAAGUGCUGAAAGCAUCUAAGCACGAAACUUGCCCCGAGAUGAGUUCUCCCUGAGACUUAGAGUCUCCUGAAGGAACGUUGAAGACGACGACGUUGAUAGGCCGGGUGUGUAAGCGCAGCGAUGCGUUGAGCUAACCGGUACUAAUGAACCGUGAGGCUUAACCUUACAACGCCGAAG
rnacentral:rRNA from 1 species